rnacentral:rRNA from 1 species
AGUGAACGCUGGCGGCAGGCCUAACACAUGCAAGUCGAACGGCAGCAUAGUGAGUGCUUGCGCUUACGGGUGUCGAGUGGCGGACGCUGCCGUUAUAUAUGGGAUUCUACUUUUUCGUGGGUGCUAAUGCAGGGAAACUUACGCUAAUCCAGCAUACGUCGUAUGUGGGAAAGCACGGGAUCUUCUGACCUUUUGCGAGUGUAUGAGCCUAUCUCGGAUUAGCUCGUUGGCGGGGUAAAGGCACACCAAGGCGACGCUCGGUAGCUGGUCUGAUCGGGUGAUCAGCCACAUUGGAAGUGAGACACGGUCCAGACUCCUACGGGAGGCAGCAGUGGGGAAUAUUGGACAAUGGGCGCAAGCCUGAUCCAGCCAUACCGCGUGAGUGAAGAAGGCCUUCGGGUUGUAAAGCGAUUUAGGUGGGAAGGAAGAGCAGCAGGUUAAUACCCCGCUGUUAUGACGGUACCGAAAGAAUAAGCACCGGCUAACUUCGUG